GAUGAACGCUGGCGGCGUGCCUAAUACAUGCAAGUCGAGCGAACAGACGAGGAGCUUGCUCCUCUGACGUUAGCGGCGGACGGGUGAGUAACACGUGGAUAACCUACCUAUAAGACUGGGAUAACUUCGGGAAACCGGAGCUAAUACCGGAUAAUAUAUUGAACCGCAUGGUUCAAUAGUGAAAGACGGUUUUGCUUUCACUUAUAGAUGGAUCCGCGCCGCAUUAGCUAGUUGGUAAGGUAACGGCUUACCAAGGCAACGAUGCGUAGCCGACCUGAGAGGGUGAUCGGCCACACGGGAACUGAGACACGGUCCAGACUCCUACGGGAGGCAGCAGUAGGGAAUCUUCCGCAAGGGGCGAAAGCCGGACGGAGCAACGCCGCGUGAGUGAUGAAGGUCUUCGGAUCGUAAAACUCUGUUAUUAGGGAAGAACAAAUGUGUAAGUAACUAUGCACGUCUUGACGGUACCUAAUCAGAAAGCCACGGCUAACUACGUG
rnacentral:rRNA from 1 species